GACGUAGGGGACGAGCGUUGUCCGGAUUUAUUGGGCGUAAAGCGCGCGUAGGCGGUUUGGUAAGUCGGAUGUGAAAUCCCGUGGCUCAACCACGGGACUGCAUCCGAUACUGCCCGACUAGAGGUAGGUAGGGGAGAUCGGAAUUCCUGGUGUAGCGGUGAAAUGCAUAGAUAUCAGGAGGAACACCAGCGGCGAAGGCGGCACUCUGGGCUGGUACUGACGCUGAGGAGCGAAAGCGUGGGGAGCGAACAGG
rnacentral:rRNA from 1 species